UUUUCGGAAUGAGAACAGAAUCCACACAUUGCCACACACUGGUGGCAGAGGAAAGAUAUUUAGUAUUGAACAGGAGUCUGCCAUUGUAGAUAUGGUAGUGGCAAACAAUGCAAUCAGACUGCGUGAAAUCCAGGCAGCAGUAACUGCAGAUCAGGGAGCAUUUAGAAAUAUAAACAGUGUGAGUUUGGCAACUAUAGAUCGAGUCCUUAAACGAAACCAUGUCAGAAUGAAGCAGCUGUACAGAGUUCCAUUUCAAAGAAACUCUGACAUCGUAAAGGAGGCACGAUUCCAAGAAUAAUGGAGCUUGAAGCUGAAGGGGCACAUCACAAAUUCAUUUUUGUGGAUGAAGCCGGCUUCAACCUCUGUAAAGUGAGGCGACGCGGGAGGAACAUCAUUGGGCAGAGGGCCACGGUCACAGUGCCAGGUCAGAGGAGUGCCAAUAUCACCAUGUGUGCUGCCAUCUCUAAUGAUGGAGUCCUUUGCCACACACCAACUAUUGGUCCAUACAAUACAGAACGCCUCAUCACAUUUCUUGAUGCAUUGAAAGAAUUACUGAUUCCACCCGAAGAGAGAGGGCUGCUGAGGCCUGGCAUGACUCUGUAUGUCAAAAUUUGGGACAAUGUGCCUUUCCACCACUCUCGCCUUGUGAAUGAAUUGUUUUGCCUCGUAUUAUGAUGCAAUUCCUCUCUGCAUACUCGCCUUUUCUGAACCCAAUCGAGGAGUUCUUCUCUGCUUGGAGGUGGAAGGUGUAUGAUCACCGGCCAUAUGAGCAGAUGCCCCAUCUCUUUUUUUUUUUUUUUUUUAAAGGUAUUUCCACCCAUAAGUUUCCUUUGGUAGCUUUUUUUCCAGUUUCCAUUUGAGUUUGUAAAGUAUCAUAUUUCAUAUUGAUGGCUGUAUUUUGUUGUCCAUUGUGUAAUGAUUGAUUGAAAGAAUAAAUUAAUUUGACCACAAGUUGUGGUGUUUGAUGGAAAUAUUUGCUUAU